rnacentral:rRNA from 1 species
UACGGGGGGGGCAAUCGUUGUUCGGAAUUACUGGGCGUAAAGGGCGCGUAGGUGGGUGGACAAGUCUCUCGUGAAAGCCCACGGCUCAACCGUGGAAUUGCGGGAGAUACUGUCCGUCUUGAGUCCGGGAGAGGAGGGUGGAAUUCCCAGUGUAGCGGUGAAAUGCGUAGAUAUUGGGAGGAACACCGGUGGCGAAGGCGGCUCUCUGGACCGGUACUGACGCUGAGGCGCGAAAGCUAGGGGAGAAAACGGG